UACGUAGGUGGCAAGCGUUGUCCGGAUUUACUGGGCGUAAAGAGCGCGCAGGCGGUCGAUCAAGUCGUGUGCGAAAGCCCCCGGCUCAACUGGGGAGGGUCACGCGAUACUGAUCGACUCGAAGGCAGGAGAGGGUAGUGGAAUUCCCGGUGUAGUGGUGAAAUGCGUAGAUAUCGGGAGGAACACCAGUGGCGAAGGCGACUACCUGGCCUGUUCUUGACGCUGAGGCGCGAAAGCUAGGGGAGCAAACGGG
rnacentral:rRNA from 1 species